GCUCAGGAUGAACGCUAGCUACAGGCUUAACACAUGCAAGUCGAGGGGUAGCAGGGUAGCAAUACCGCUGACGACCGGCGCACGGGUGAGUAACACGUAUCCAACCUUCCCAUUACUCGGGGAUAGCCUUUCGAAAGAAAGAUUAAUACCCGAUAGUACUUUUUCGAGGCAUCUCGUAAAAAGUUAAAGAUUUAUUGGUAAUGGAUGGGGAUGCGUUCCAUUAGAUUGUUGGUGAGGUAACGGCUCACCAAGUCUUCGAUGGAUAGGGGUUCUGAGAGGAAGGUCCCCCACAUUGGUACUGAGACACGGACCAAACUCCUACGGGAGGCAGCAGUGAGGAAUAUUGGUCAAUGGGCGAGAGCCUGAACCAGCCAAGUAG
rnacentral:rRNA from 1 species